rnacentral:rRNA from 1 species
UAGAGUUUGAUCCUGGCUCAGGAUGAACGCUGGCGGCGUGCUUAACACAUGCAAGUCGAACGAAGCAUUAGAACGGAUUACUUCGGUUUGAAGUUCUAUCUGACUGAGUGGCGGACGGGUGAGUAACGCGUGGGUAACCUGCCUCAUACAGGGGGAUAACAGUUAGAAAUGACUGCUAAUACCGCAUAAGCGCACGGUUUCGCAUGGAACAGUGUGAAAAACUCCGGUGGUAUGAGAUGGACCCGCGUCUGAUUAGCUGGUUGGCGGGGUAACGGCCCACCAAGGCGACGAUCAGUAGCCGGCCUGAGAGGGUGAACGGCCACAUUGGGACUGAGACACGGCCCAAACUCCUACGGGAGGCAGCAGUGGGGAAUAUUGCACAAUGGGGGAAACCCCGAUGCAGCGACGCCGCGUGAAGGAAGAAGUAUUUCGGUAUGUAAACUUCUAUCAGCAGGGAAGAAAAUGACGGUACCUGACUAAGAAGCCCCGGCUAACUACGUGCCAGCAGCCGCGGUAAUACGUAGGGGGCAAGCGUUAUCCGGAUUUACUGGGUGUAAAGGGAGCGUAGGCGGUAAUGCAAGUCAGAAGUGAAAGCCCGGGGCUCAACUCCGGGACUGCUUUUGAAACUGUGUUGCUAGAUUGCAGGAGAGGUAAGUGGAAUUCCUAGUGUAGCGGUGAAAUGCGUAGAUAUUAGGAGGAACACCAGUGGCGAAGGCGGCUUACUGGACUGUAAAUGACGCUGAGGCUCGAAAGCGUGGGGAGCAAACAGGAUUAGAUACCCUGGUAGUC